rnacentral:ncRNA from 1 species
AUAAAGUUUUAUUCUAGCUUGAGAUUUUAAUUUUUAAAUUAUUUUAUAUGUAAAUUUUAGUGUUUAAUGAAUUUAUUUUAAAAAGAUAAAUUAUUCUAUAUAUUUAAUUAAAGAAUUGCAAUAGUGAAGAUUAAAUUUAAAAGAAAUUUUGAUUUAGGAAUUUAUAAUAGUAUUGACCAAGUUUGUGCCAGCAGUUGCGGUUACACAAACAAUACAAUUAAAUUUGUUCAGUAUAUAAUAAGUUAUUUUAUUAUUAAUUUAUGUUGUAUUUAUUAGGUGAAAUUAGUAAAUAUAAUUAAUUUUUUAAAUGUGAAAAAUGAGUUUAUGAGAUUUUUAUAAAAAACUAGGAUUAGAUACCCUAUUAUUAAAAAUGCAAAUUUUAGAUGCUUGAAUAGUAGUAGUUAUGUUCUUGAAAUUUUAAGAAUUUGGCGGUAUUUUAGUCUACUCAGAGGAACCUGUCCUAUAAUUGAUGGUCCACGAUUAAUCGUACUUAUUUUAAAGGUUUGUAUAUCGUCGUAGGUUGAAUGUUUUUAAAGAAUUUGGAAUGUUCAAAAUUUAUAAGUAUAAAAAAAAUCAGAUCAAGAUACAGCGUAUAGAUAAGGAGAGAUGGGUUACAAUAAAAUUAUUUAGAUGGUUAAAAUAAUUAACAUUAUUUUAUAAAGUGGAUUUGAAAGUAAUAUAGUUUAGUUUAAUUAUAUGAGUAUAGCUCUAGAAUAUGUACAUAUCGCCCGUCGCUCCCUCUCUAAAGAGGGAUAAGUCGUAACAUAGUAGGUGUACUGGAAAGUGUACCUGGAAUGGC